AUGCUAAUCUAUAGCUCCUCCUUCCAGCAUACAUACAUACAACAAGUAAAUUAUCCUCUACUUCGUGUUGGCUUGUUGCACAUACGUACGGCGCUCGGUGCGGCCAUGGCACAGCCGCUGCACUUCGUCCUGGUGCCGCUCCUCGCGCCGGGCCACGUGAUCCCCAUGCUCGACCUGGCGCGCCUCAUCGCCGGCCGCGGCGGCGCGCGCGUCACCGUGGUCCUCACGCCCGUCAGCGCCGCGCGCAACAGGGCCGUCCUGGAGCACGCGCUCCGCGAGGGGCUCGCCGUCGACGUGGCCGAGCUGCAGUUCCCGGGGCCGGCGCUGGGGCUGCCCGAGGGGUGCGAGAGCCACGACAUGGUCACGGAGCUGUCCCACUUCACGCUCUUCUAUGAGGCCGUCUGGCUGCUCGCCGGGCCGCUGGAGACGUACCUCCGGGCGCUGCCACGCCGGCCGGACUGCCUCGUCGCCGACACUUGCAACCCGUGGACGGCCGACGUCGCGCGCCGGCUUGACAUCCCACGGUUCGUGUUCCACGGCCCGUCCGCGUUCUUCCUCCUGGCGCAGCAUAGCCUGGCCAGGCACGGCGUGCACGACACCGACAGCGUCGCCGGUGACUUCGAGCAGUUCGAGGUGCCCGACUUUCCGGUACGCGUCGUCACCAGCAAGGCCACGUCGCUUGGCUUCUUCCAUUUUCCUGGGCUGGAGAAGGAAAGGCGUGACACGCUGCACGCCGAGGCUACCGCCGACGGCUUCGUCUUCAACACGUGCGCGGCCUUCGAGAGCGCGUACACCAAGGGAUACGGAGAGGCGCUCGACCGGAAGGUGUGGGCGGUCGGGCCGCUCUGCCUUCUGGACUCUGACGCGGAGACGACGACCGGAAGAGGCAACCGCGCGGCCGUCGAUGCCGGCUCGGUCGCCACUUGGCUCGACGCGCGGCCGCACCAGUCCGUGCUCUACGUCAGCUUCGGCAGCAUGGCCCGCCUCUUGCCGUCGCAGGCCGCAGAGCUCGCCGCCGGCCUGGAGUCGUCGAAUCGCCCGUUCAUCUGGGUGACGAGGGAGACCGACGACCUCGACGCGGGGUUCGAGGACCGCGUGGAGGGCCGCGGACUUGUCAUCCGUGGGUGGGCGCCGCAGAUGACCAUCCUGUCGCACCCGGCGGUGGGCGGCUUUCUGACGCACUGCGGGUGGAACUCCACGUUGGAGUCGCUCACCCACGGCGUGCCGCUGCUGACAUGGCCGCACAUCGCCGACCAGUUCUUGAACGAGACGCUGGUCGUGGACGUGCUCGGCGCCGGCGUCCGCAUCGGCGUUAAGGUGCCGACCAUGCACGUGUUCCUGAACCCCGAGCUAUAUGCGAAACAGGUCGUGAGAGACGACAUCAAGAAAGCGUUGAGGGAGCUGAUGGAGGAGGGGGCGGAAAUACGAACGACGGCGAAGAAGCUCGCGACGGUGGCAAGGGAGGCGAUGGCGGAGGGCGGGUCGUCGGACCGGGAUGUGGCGGAUAUGGUUCGCCAUGUCGGGGACCUAGCGCACAGGAAGGAGAAGGGCGUGCCCGAGCUUGAAAACAACCAGAAGACAGAUGGUCAAGUCAAACAUUCCUCUGUAGGAUAA
rnacentral:rRNA from 1 species